GACGAACGCUGGCGGCGUGCUUAACACAUGCAAGUCGAGCGGAAAGGCUCCUUCGGGGGUACUCGAGCGGCGAACGGGUGAAUAACACGUGAGUAAUCUGCCCUUGGCUUCGGGAUAGCCACCGGAAGCGGUGAUUAAUACCGGAUACGACAACUUCUCGCAUGGGAUGGUUGUGGAAAGUUUUUUCGGCCAGGGAUGUGCUCGCGGCCUAUCAGCUUGAUGGUGAGGUAAUGGCUCACCAUGGCUUCGACGGGUAGCCGGCCUGAGAGGGUGUCCGGCCACACUGGGACUGAGAUACGGCCCAGACUCCUACGGGAGGCAGCAGUGGGGAAUAUUGCACAAUGGGCGCAAGCCUGAUGCAGCGACGCCGCGUGGGGGAUGACGGCCUUCGGGUUGUAAACCUCUUUCAGUAGGGACGAAGCGCAAGUGACGGUACCUACAGAAGAAGCACCGGCCAACUACGUGCCAGCAGCCGCCGUAA
rnacentral:rRNA from 1 species